UACAGAGGGGGCGAGCGUUGUUCGGAAUUACUGGGCGUAAAGGGCGCGUAGGCGGCCUGCUAAGUCGAACGUGAAAUCCCCGGGCUCAACCCGGGAACUGCGUCCGAUACUGGUGGGCUUGAAUCCGGGAGAGGGAUGUGGAAUUCCAGGUGUAGCGGUGAAAUGCGUAGAUAUUCGCAAGAACACCAGUGGCGAAGGCGGCUCACUGGUCCGGUACUGACGCUGAGGUGCGAAAGCGUGGGGAGCAAACAGG
rnacentral:rRNA from 1 species